UACGUAGGGUGCAGGCGUUAAUCGGAAUUACUGGGCGUAAAGCGUGCGCAGGCGGUUCUAUAAGACAGAUGUGAAAUCCCCGGGCUCAACCUGGGAACUGCAUUUGUGACUGUAGAGCUGGAGUGCGGCAGAGGGGGAUGGAAUUCCGCGUGUAGCAGUGAAAUGCGUAGAUAUGCGGAGGAACACCGAUGGCGAAGGCAAUCCCCUGGGCCUGCACUGACGCUCAUGCACGAAAGCGUGGGGAGCAAACAGG
rnacentral:rRNA from 1 species